CCUGGUUGAUCCUCCCAGUAGCAUAUGCUUGUCUCAAAGAUCAAGCCAUGCAUGUCUAAAUGCACAAGGCUGGCACAGAGAAACUGUGAAUGGCUCAUUAAAUCAACUAUUGGUGACCUUUGGUCACGCAAACCAUUACUUGGAUAACUGUGGUAAUUUCAGAGUUAAUACAUGCUGUUGAGCACUGACCUCCAGGGAUGCAUGCAUUUAUCAGAUCAAAACCAACCUGGGCUUACCCAGCUGCUUUGAUAACCUCCGACCAAUGGCAUGCCAUGUGGUGGUAAAGACUCAUUCGAAUGUCUGCCCUAUCAACUUUCCAUGGUACUUUCUGUGCCUACCCCGGUGACUGCUGGUAAUGGGGACUCAGGGUUUGAUUCUGGAGAGGGAGCCUGAAAAAUGGCUACCACAUCCAAGGAAGGCAGCAGGCAUGCAGAUUACCUACCCCUGACCCUGGAAGGAUAGUGACAAAAAAUAACAUUCCAGGAUUGUUUCAAGGCCUUGUAAUUGGAAUGAGUAUACUUUAAAUCCUUUAAAGUAGGAUCGAUUGCAGGGCAAGUCUGCUGUCAGCAACUCUGGUAAUUAUAGCUCCAAAAGUGUAUAUUGCAGUUAAAAAGCUAGUAGUUGCAUCUUGGGAUGGAGCUGGCAGUCCACCGUGAGGCAAGCUAUCACCUGUCCUGGCCCCUGCUUCUUAGCACUGCCUUGCUGCUCUUAACUGAAUGCCCUUGGGAUCUACAUUGAAAAAAUUAGUGUGUUCAAAGCAGGCUGGUCACUAGAAUACUCCAGCUAGGAACAAUGGAAUAGCACUCUGGGUCUAUUGUGUUUGGUUUAGGAACGGGGCCAUGAAUAAGAGGGAUGGCCAGGGGCAUUCGUAUUGUGCCGUUAGAGGUGAAAUUCUUGGAUGGGGGCAAGACAAAUGAAAGCAAAAGAGUUUGCCAAGAAUGUUUUUUUAUAAUCAAGAAUGAACAUUGGAGGUUUGAAGAUGAUCAGACACUGUUGUAGUGACUAUUGUAAAUGAUGCCAACUAAGUUAAAUCUCUUUGCCCUGCACAACGGGCUCCACAACGUGGCUUCCACGUGAAAGAGGAUAGAGGGCAGGGGAGA
rnacentral:rRNA from 1 species